rnacentral:rRNA from 1 species
UACGUAGGGAGCAAGCGUUGUUCGGAUUUACUGGGCGUAAAGGGCGCGUAGGCGGCGUGUCAAGUCGAUUGUGAAAUCUCCGGGCUUAACUCGGAACGGCCAAUCGAUACUGACGUGCUAGAGUGCAGAAAGGGCAAUCGGAAUUCUUGGUGUAGCGGUGAAAUGCGUAGAUAUCAAGAGGAACACCUGAGGCGAAGGCGGGUUGCUAGGCUGACACUGGCGCUGAGUGCGCGAAAGCCAGGGGAGCGAACGGG